GACGAACGCUGGCGGCGUGCUUAACACAUGCAAGUCGAACGGAAAGGCCCUGCUUUUGUGGGGUGCUCGAGUGGCGAACGGGUGAGUAACACGUGAGUAACCUGCCCUUGACUUUGGGAUAACUUCAGGAAACUGGGGCUAAUACCGGAUAGGAGCUCCUGCUGCAUGGUGGGGGUUGGAAAGUUUCGGCGGUUGGGGAUGGACUCACGGCUUAUCAGCUUGUUGGUGGGGUAGUGGCUUACCAAGGCUUUGACGGGUAGCCGGCCUGAGAGGGUGACCGGCCACAAUGGGACUGAGAUACGGCCCAGACUCCUACGGGAGGCAGCAGUGGGGAAUAUUGCACAAUGGGCGGAAGCCUGAUGCAGCAACGCCGCGUGCGGGAUGACGGCCUUCGGGUUGUAAACCGCUUUCGCCUGUGACGAAGCGUGAGUGACGGUAAUGGGUAAAGAAGCACCGGCUAACUACGUG
rnacentral:rRNA from 1 species